rnacentral:rRNA from 1 species
AGCGAACGCUGGCGGCAGGCCUAACACAUGCAAGUCGAGCGAAGUCUUCGGACUUAGUGGCGGACGGGUGAGUAACACGUGGGAACGUACCUUUUGGUUCGGAACAACUCAGGGAAACUUGAGCUAAUACCGGAUGAGCCCUUAGGGGGAAAGAUUUAUCGCCGAAAGAGCGGCCCGCGUUAGAUUAGCUAGUUGGUGAGGUAGAGGCUCACCAAGGCUACGAUCUAUAGCUGGUCUGAGAGGAUGAUCAGCCACACUGGGACUGAGACACGGCCCAGACUCCUACGGGAGGCAGCAGUGGGGAAUCUUGCGCAAUGGGCGAAAGCCUGACGCAGCCAUGCCGCGUGAAUGAUGAAGGUCUUAGGAUUGUAAAAUUCUUUUACCAGGGACGAUAAUGACGGUACCUGGAGAAAAAGCCCCGGCUAACUUCGUGCCAGCCGCCGCAGUAA